rnacentral:rRNA from 1 species
UCCUACGGGUCAGCAGCAGUGAAGAAUUUUGUUCAAUGGGCAAAAAGCAUGAUGCAGAGACGCCGAGUGAGGGAUGACGGCAUUGAAGCCUUUAAACCUAUUUCAGCUAGGGAAGACGGGAAAGUGACGGUACCUGCAAAAAAAGCAAGCGGCUAAUAUGACCAGCAGCAGCGGUAAUACGUAGGGUGCGAGCGUUGUCCGGAAUUAUUGGGUGUAAAGGAAGAGUAGGUAGUUUGUAGUAUAAGUUAUGAAAAUAAUAGGCUCAACCUCCUGGGAGCAGUGGGUACGGGCAGGAUUGAGGAGGUAGGGAAGGAUGGAAUUAAUUGGUUUAGCGGUGAAAAAGCAGAUAUCAUGAGAAGGACCGAUUCGAAAUCGGCGGCUUGGGGGACCAUUAACGACGAGGAGGGAAAAAAUCGUAGCGAACAACAUUAGAAACCCUGGUAGUUCUUCCCGCAAAAUGGACGCUAGGUGUGGGAGGCCUUUUAAUUCUUCCGUGGCGCCUUAAGAAAUUUAAAAAAUACUCUCAAAAAACCUUAUUU